rnacentral:rRNA from 1 species
AGAGUUUGAUCAUGGCUCAGAUUGAACGCUGGCGGCGUGCCUAACACAUGCAAGUCGAGCGGUAACAGGUGUAGCAAUACAUGCUGACGAGCGGCGAACGGGUGAGUAAUGCUUCGGAAUCUACCCAAUGGUGGGGAAUAACCAGCCGAAAGGUUGGCUAAUACCGCAUACGUCCUACGGGAGAAAGCAGGGGAUCGUAAGACCUUGCGCCAAUGGAUGAGCCGAAGUCGGAUUAGCUAGUUGGUAGGGUAACGGCCUACCAAGGCGACGAUCCGUAGCUGGUCUGAGAGGACGACCAGCCACACUGGGACUGAGACACGGCCCAGACUCCUACGGGAGGCAGCAGUGGGGAAUAUUGGACAAUGGGGGAAACCCUGAUCCAGCGACGCCGCGUGUGUGAAGAAGGCCUGCGGGUUGUAAAGCACUUUUAGUGGGGAUGAAAAGUUCAGGGCUAACACCUCUGGAUCUUGACCUAACCCACAGAAAAAGCACCGGCUAACUCUGUGCCAGCAGCCGCGGUAAUACAGAGGGUGCGAGCGUUAAUCGGAAUUACUGGGCGUAAAGCGUGCGUAGACGGUUACAUAAGUCGGGUGUGAAAGCCCCGGGCUCAACCUGGGAAUUGCAUUCGAGACUGCGUAGCUAGGGUGCGGAAGAGGGAAGCGGAAUUUCCGGUGUAGCGGUGAAAUGCGUAGAUAUCGGAAGGAACACCAGUGGCGAAAGCGGCUUCCUGGUCCAGCACCGACGUUCAGGCACGAAAGCGUGGGGAGCAAACAGGAUUAGAUACCCUAGUAGUCC